UGCAGUCGAACGAUGAAGCCCAGCUUGCUGGGUGGAUUAGUGGCGAACGGGUGAGUAACACGUGAGUAACCUGCCCUUAACUCUGGGAUAAGCCUGGGAAACUGGGUCUAAUACCGGAUAGGAGCGUCCACCGCAUGGUGGGUGUUGGAAAGAUUUAUCGGUUUUGGAUGGACUCGCGGCCUAUCAGCUUGUUGGUGAGGUAAUGGCUCACCAAGGCGACGACGGGUAGCCGGCCUGAGAGGGUGACCGGCCACACUGGGACUGAGACACGGCCCAGACUCCUACGGGAGGCAGCAGUGGGGAAUAUUGCACAAUGGGCGAAAGCCUGAUGCAGCGACGCCGCGUGAGGGAUGACGGCCUUCGGGUUGUAAACCUCUUUCAGUAGGGAAGAAGCGAAAGUGACGGUACCUGCAGAAGAAGCACCGGCUAACUACGUGCCAGCAGCCGCGGUAAUACGUAGGGUGCGAGCGUUAUCCGGAAUUAUUGGGCGUAAAGAGCUCGUAGGCGGUUUGUCGCGUCUGUCGUGAAAGUCCGGGGCUUAACCCCGGAUCUGCGGUGGGUACGGGCAGACUAGAGUGCAGUAGGGGAGACUGGAAUUCCUGGUGUAGCGGUGGAAUGCGCAGAUAUCAGGAGGAACACCGAUGGCGAAGGCAGGUCUCUGGGCUGUAACUGACGCUGAGGAGCGAAAGCAUGGGGAGCGAACAGGAUUAGAUACCCUGGUAGUCCAUGCCGUAAACGUUGGGCACUAGGUGUGGGGACCAUUCCACGGUUUCCGCGCCGCAGCUAACGCAUUAAGUGCCCCGCCUGGGGAGUACGGCCGCAAGGCUAAAACUCAAAGGAAUUGACGGGGGCCCGCACAAGCGGCGGAGCAUGCGGAUUAAUUCGAUGCAACGCGAAGAACCUUACCAAGGCUUGACAUGUUCUCGAUCGCCGUAGAGAUACGGUUUCCCCUUUGGGGCGGGUUCACAGGUGGUGCAUGNUUGUCGUCAGCUCGUGUCGUGAGAUGUUGGGGUUAAGUCCCGCAACGAGCGCAACCC
rnacentral:rRNA from 1 species